AUUCCAGCUCCAAUAGCGUAUAUUAAAGUUGUUGUGGUUAAAAAGCUCGUAGUUGGAUUUCGGCGGGUAUAGGUUGGUUUGAAUUGCUUCAAUACUGACUUUUUUACCCGUGUGUUUUGCCAGAAUUUAACGGGUGAUCUUCGCCGAUUGUCUGUUAGAACUGACAGGUUUACUUUGAAAAAAUUAGAGUGCUCAAAGCAAGCUUGAUUGCUUGAAUAUUCGUGCAUGGAAUAAUAGAAUAGGAAGUCGUUUCUAUUUUGUUGGUUUUCGGAAAUCGACUUAAUGAUUAAUAGGGACAGUCGGGGGCAUUUGUAUUCAAACGACAGAGGUGAAAUUCUUGGACCGUUUGAAGACAAACUACUGCGAAAGCAUUUGCCAAGAAUGUUUUCAUUAAUCAAGAACGAAAGUUAGAGGUUCGAAGGCGAUUAGAUACCGCCCUAGUUCUAACCAUAAACGAUGCCAGCUAGCGAUCUGACGGCGUUUUAUUUUUGACUUGUCAGGGAGCUUCCGGGAAACCAAAGCUUGUGGGUUCCAGGGGAAGUAUGGUUGCAAAGCUGAAACUUAAAGUAAUUGACGGAAGGGCACCACCAGGAGUGGAGCCUGUGGCUUAAUUUGACUCAACACGGGAAAUCUCACCAGGCCCGGACACCAGAAGGAUUGACAGAUUGAUAGCUC
rnacentral:rRNA from 1 species